rnacentral:tRNA from 1 species
GCCGGUGGGCCUCAGUGGUUAGAGCGUUGGCUUGUGCACCAAAGGGUCACAGGUUCGAUUCCUGGUCAAGGGCA